rnacentral:rRNA from 1 species
UACGAAGGGGAGCUAGCGUUGCUCGGAAUUACUGGGCGUAAAGCGCACGUAGGCGGCUUUUUAAGUCGGAGGUGAAAUCCUGGAGCUCAACUCCAGAACUGCCUUCGAUACUGAAGAGCUCGAGUCCGGGAGAGGUGAGUGGAACUGCGAGUGUAGAGGUGAAAUUCGUAGAUAUUCGCAAGAACACCAGUGGCGAAGGCGGCUCACUGGCCCGGUACUGACGCUGAGGUGCGAAAGCGUGGGGAGCAAACAGG